CCUACGGGGGGCUGCAGUGGGGGAUAUUGCACAAUGGGGGGAACCCUGAUGCAGCGACGCCGCGUGGGUGAAGAAGCGCCUCGGCGCGUAAAGCCCUGUCAGCAGGGAAGAAAAUGACGGUAUCUGAAGAAGAAGCACCGGCUAACUACGUGCCAGCAGCCGCGGUAAUACGUAGGGGGCAAGCGUUAUCCGGAUUUACUGGGUGUAAAGGGGGCGCAGGCGGCGAUGCAAGCCAGGAGUGAAAGCCCGUGGCCCAACCCCGGGACUGCUCUUGAAACUGCGUGGCUGGAGUGCAGGAGGGGCAGGCGGAAUUCCUGGUGUAGCGGUGAAAUGCGUAGAUAUCAAGCAGAACACCGAUUGCGAAGGCAGCAUACCGGCGCCCGACUGACGCUGAGGCACGAAAGCGUGGGGAUCGAACAGGAUUAGAUACCCCUGUAGUC
rnacentral:rRNA from 1 species